UCUUCCGCUACAAUUGAGCAAACAUCGGGAGAGAUUGAGAAGUAAAAUUCCAUGGCGCUGUAUCUGUUGUAUGAGUCGGCGUCUGGGUACGGUUUGUUUUUGGCUCACGGGAUUGAUGAGAUAGGGCAGAACACGGAGGCGGUCCGGAACUCAAUCGAUGACCUCAAUCGCUUUGGGAAAGUUGUAAAGAUUGAAGCUUUUAACCCUUUUGAGUCCGCUCUUGAUGCCCUAAAUCAAUGCAAUGCUGUUUCUGAAGGUCAAAUGACUGAGGAGCUACAGAACUUUUUGGAGCGUAGUCUCCCAAAAGUCAAGGAGGGUAAGAAAGCUAAGUUCAGCUUAGGAUUGGCAGAGCCUAAGCUUGGGUCACAUAUCCAUGAAGUUACUAAGAUUCCUUGCCAAAGUAACGAGUUUGUUCUUGAGAUUUUGCGUGGAGUACGAUUGCAUUUUGAGAAAUUUGUUAAAAACCUUAAGCCUGGUGAUUCGGAGAAAGCCCAACUUGGUCUGAGUCAUAGUUACAGCAGAGCAAAGGUCAAGUUCAAUGUCAACCGUGUUGACAAUAUGGUCACUCAGGCAAUAGUCCUACUUGACACUCUUGAUAAAGAUAUAAAUACCUUUGCCAUGAGAGUCAGAGAGUGGUACUCUUGGCAUUUCCCCGAGUUGGUCAAGAUUGUCAAUGACAACUAUCUAUAUGCCAAGGUUGCAAAAUUUGUUGAUGACAAAUCUCAAUUGUCUGAAGACAAAAUUUCAGCAUUAACUGAAAUAGUCGGAGAUGAAGAUAAAGCAAAAGAAAUCGUAGAAGCUGCAAAAGCUUCCAUGGGCCAGGAUUUGUCACCAGUUGACUUGAUUAAUGUCAAGCUAUUUGCACAGAGGGUAAUGGACCUUGUUGAAUACAGGAAAAAUCUUUAUGAUUAUCUUGUCGCCAAAAUGCACGACAUAGCACCAAAUUUGGCUGCUCUGAUUGGUGAAGUUGUGGGUGCUCGUUUAAUUUCUCAUGCUGGUAGUCUCACAAAUUUGGCGAAGUGCCCUUCUUCUACCCUUCAG
rnacentral:misc_RNA from 1 species